rnacentral:rRNA from 1 species
AGAGUUUGAUUCUGGCUCAGGAUGAACGCUGGCGGCGUGCUUAACACAUGCAAGUCGAACGAGGUCCAACCUUCGGGUGAAGACCGAGUGGCGAACGGGUGAGUAACACGUGGGGAACCUGCCCUUCUCUCUGGGAUAACCUCGGGAAACCGAAGCUAAUACCGGAUACUCCUUGCGGACCGCAUGGUCUGCUCGGGAAAGCUCCGGCGGAGAAGGAUGGCCCCGCGGCCCAUUAGCUUGUUGGUGGGGUAACGGCCCACCAAGGCGACGAUGGGUAGCCGAGCUGAGAGGCUGAUCGGCCACACUGGGACUGAGACACGGCCCAGACUCCUACGGGAGGCAGCAGUGGGGAAUCUUGCGCAAUGGGCGAAAGCCUGACGCAGCAACGCCGCGUGCGGGAUGAAGGCUCUCGGGUCGUAAACCGCUUUCAGCAGGGAUGAAAAUGACAGUACCUGCAGAAGAAGCCCCGGCUAAAUACGUGCCAGCAGCCGCGGUAAUACGUAUGGGGCAAGCGUUAUCCGGAUUCAUUGGGCGUAAAGCGCGCGUAGGCGGCUUGUUAAGUCAGGCGUGAAAUCCGGGGGCUCAACCCGCGGCUUGCGUCUGAAACUGGCAGGCUUGAGUCUGGUAGAGGAAAGUGGAAUUCCUGGUGUAGCGGUGAAAUGCGCAGAUAUCACGAGGAACACCAGUGGCGAAGGCGGCUUUCUGGGCCACGACUGACGCUGAGGCGCGAAAGCUAGGGGAGCGAACAGGAUUAGAUACCCUGGUAGUC